GAUGUGGUUAGUCCGCAACGACGCGCAACCCUUAUCCCUAGUUGCCAUCAGGUAAAGCUGGGAACUCUGUGGAGACUGCCGGUGGUCAAACCGGAGGAAGGUGGGGAUGACGUCAAGUCCUCAUGGCCCUUAUGACCAGGGCUACACACGUACUACAAUGGCCGGUACAAAGAGUUGCGAUACCGCGAGGUGGAGCUAAUCUCAUAAAGCCGGUCUCAGUUCGGAUUGGAGUCUGCAACUCGACUCCAUGAAGUUGGAAUCGCUAGUAAUCGCGGAUCAGCACGCCGCGGUGAAUACGUUCCCGGGCCUU
rnacentral:rRNA from 1 species